UACGGAGGGGGCUAGCGUUGUUCGGAAUUACUGGGCGUAAAGCGCGCGUAGGCGGCUUUGUAAGUUAGAGGUGAAAGCCCGGGGCUCAACCCCGGAACUGCCUUUAAGACUGCAUCGCUUGAAUCCAGGAGAGGUGAGUGGAAUUCCGAGUGUAGAGGUGAAAUUCGUAGAUAUUGGGAAGAACACCGGUGGCGAAGGCGGCGACCUGGUCCUUGACUGACGCUGAGGCGCGAAAGCGUGGGGAGCAAACAGG
rnacentral:rRNA from 1 species